CCAGACGGUCGGAUGGCCGCCUUCGCGCCCAGAGUUUUCUCGGGGCACGGGGGAGGAAAGUCCGGGCUCCAUGGAAACACGGUGCCGGGUAACGCCCGGCGGGGGCGACCCCAGGGAAAGUGCCACAGAAAGCAAACCGCCCGGCGAGUGUUCGCAUUCGUCGGGUAAGGGUGAAAGGGUG
rnacentral:RNase_P_RNA from 1 species